rnacentral:rRNA from 1 species
AGCAAGCGGAACUCAUAAAGUCUGUCGUAGUCCGGAUUGGAGUCUGCAACUCGACUCCAUGAAGUCGGAAUCGCUAGUAAUCGUAGAUCAGAAUGCUACGGUGAAUACGUUCCCGGGCCUUGUACACACCGCCCGUCACACCAUGGGAGUGGGUUGCAAAAGAAGUAGGUAGCUUAACCUUCGGGAGGGCGCUUACCACUUUGUGAUUCAUGACUGGGGUGAAGUCGUAACAAGGUAACCGUAGGGGAACCUGCGGUUGGAUCACCUCCUUACCUAAGAGA